rnacentral:rRNA from 1 species
UCGAGAAUCUUCGGCAAUGAGCGCAAGCUUGACCGAGCGACGCCGCGUGCGGGAUGAAGGCCUUCGGGUUGUAAACCGCUUUGGUCCGAAAGAAAGGGUAAAACUUGAUCGAUCGGAGAAACAAGGACGGGCUAAGUUCGUGCCAGCAGCCGCGGUAAGACGAACCGUCCAAACGUUAUUCGGAAUCACUGGGCUUAAAGGGCGCGUAGGCGGCUGUAUAAGUCAGUGGUGAAAGGCUGUGGCUUAACCAUGGGAUUGCCAUUGAUACUGUACGGCUUGAAUUAGGAUGAGGUUGGCGGAAUGUGACAUGUAGCGGUGAAAUGCUUAGAUAUGUCAUGGAACAUCGAUUGCGAAGGCAGCUGACUGGACCUGUACUGACGCUCAUGCACGAAAGCGUGGGGAGCAAACAGGAUUAGAUACCCUUGUAGUCCCUGAGCGGGCUGGCAAGGCGCAU